CACGCGCGUUCCUUCGAGGAUCGGCGAUCGAACUCUCUAUCGCCGUUCCACAAACAAAACAUCCGCGACUCUUAGAAUUCGUCGCACCUCAAGUAUCAACUACCGCCGGCCUAAGUCCGAUGACAGACGUAUGGCUCGGGGUGUCGAUAGUUUAAAGAAUCCUGAGAAAUCUUUGAAAAGCAGGUCCAAGCCCCAAAUGCAAUGACCCUGCCUCGUGUCAACCUUUGCACACGUGCUGACGCUAACAGACCAGACUACCAUUCUUUAGGGCCUCCUGAACACGUCCCUCAAAUUUCUUUGUAAUCUGUUCAGCAGGAACGAAAAAUGGCGUGUUCUACGUUGUAGGGAUAUUUCUAUGAACUGUCGGUAAAGUUUUCAACGCUAGCAUCACCUUAUUUGCAUCGAUUCCCAAAAGUAGAGUUUGAAGAGCCUGCAUGCGGCCUAAGCCGAAACGUACGUCCAUACUUGUCUGGCAUUGACAAAUCGUUUUGCCGAUCGGUAAAUAUCAACUCGAUGGGAACGCAGCUUUAGUCAGCGCUCCCACUCCUUGCCGUUGCUACGUGCGUACCGUCCUUGCUUGAUUGCGUUUCACAAAGACUCUCCACUGGCAGCCAUUAUUCUUCUUUCGGCUGCGCUACGGAUGCAAUCGUAAUAUGUCGUGCUCUGUGUUAUUAUACCAAGUGAUAAUGAAACGUGUUGCUGCUUCUAGCUUACUAACGUUGCGCUUUUCACAGCGACAGCAUCUCAACAAGCUCGUAAUGCAUCACAGUGACUAAAUCGUGAUAAGUGACAGUACCUAUCCAAAGCGCUAUGCAAUUUUAGCGUAUAACACGCUGAAAUCAACAUUGCUGAUCAACAGGUUGACCAGGAACCAGGGCUUCCUCCAGUGCAUCCACGGGCUCCUCCCAGUCAACGAUAACACCCCUUCUGGACCUCUUUCGCUCUGGGAGCGCAUCUUUUUCUCAGCAUCCCGAAGUGCGGACCAAGCGGCUUGGGACGGCCUACGAAUAUACAGGGAGAUUCUCUCGGCGCGCAACACAAUAGCCGCCCCGCACAAUGGAACUCUGCUGUGUUUGCGGGCAAAAAGCUCAGAAGGUCAAGUCACCGGACCCAAGACUGCUCUUUUCUCAUAUAUUUUGACAAAUUAAAAAGAUAUUUCUCAUACCAUUGCUUCCAACGGUAUUUCAAGACUAUCACACAAUGUAAAAUACUUAAAUUACUUCGACGGCUUAAAUACCUAGCACAGAAAUACACUGUAGCGCAACCAAAAAUUAAGUAAAUAGAACAAUAAUGAAUAAAGAAAAAACUAAAAAUAGAAAGAAUAUCAUCAAACUCAGUAAUUAUUAAUAUAUAACCCACCACCUUCAAAAAAAGACACAACCAAAAAAUCAAAAAGAAAGGAACAUUAUUACCCGUUUCAUAAAGAGCCAGGGGAGACAUAAGGCUCCCAAAAUUGGUAUCACUCCACACUUCCAGAUACAAUUCAAUCCUCUAAGUGAAUUUCCAGUAUAACAUCCCAAAAAGUUCCAAAAUUAAUCCAAAUCCAUGUUCCAUAAAAAAUAAAAGCGCUGUACUCACACAUUUCCAUAAUCUCAUACCAUACCAUUGACACUUAAUCAAAAACUUAGGCCUAAAGAACCAACAAGACCAAACCAGCCAGUCAUACAAGUACAUCCAUCUUACACAUUUCCAAUGUCUUACGUCCAACAGAAAACCGCCAUUAACACAAUAAGAAUGACACAACGCAAAAGCACUAGUUGUUAUCAGCGGAAGGACUCUGCCCAAACACAUGGCCAAAUUGGCCCUUCUUCAUGUCCGCAAUUCUUUGUCUGCUCCUUUCUUCUUCCCUUUCAGCUUCUAGUGCCUCCAAUUCCCUUUCCCUCCUGGCGUACGAUGGGCCCGGAAGGCUGGCUUCCCAUUCUUCCUGUAGCCGCUUUUUCUCGACCUCCGUGGCUGCAUACAAAGCCUUUUUCCUUUCGAUCUUCGCCAAGGUUUUGGGCGGGAUCGGGACGUUCCACUCCGGCCGUUGAACCGAAUUCCACUCCUCUGCCGUGGGGCGCCUAGCGUAUUUCGUCUUUUUCAGGACCUUUUCCACUUCAUUUUCCAAGCCACAAUCAGCAAUCAGACUGAGAAGCUCCGAGAGGAAUUCAUCCUCCCUCCUCUUUCUCAGUUGGUCAACCAAUUGUCUAUUCGCCUGUUGCUCCAUUUUGCUGAUCCUUUUUAUAGCCGCUUCUUCAAUUUCCCCGUUUCCGAAUGUAUAUUCCGCCUCACCAUCCUCCGGAUCCGACUCCGGCUGGAUGGUGGCAUAUCUGUUAUUCCAUCUUUCUUUUUCCAAUGUGAUCAAGUUCCUCUUAAUCAACCGCUCUCUUGUUUUAACAGGGUCAUCCAUUAUUUCCAAAUUCAAUCUCCCUCUCCCCCUACCCCUGCCCUUGGGAGGGGGGUUAUCAUCUUUAUUUAGGCCCUGCACCACCUAGUUCCAUCCUCUACCCUGUGUAGGAGGUGGGGAAAGCGAACCCUGAGCCUCCUGAAUCGCUUGCAGUUCAUUAUCAAGAGGAACAUCAAACUUCUCCCAAAAUUCUGGGAUUCUAGACCUGCUUUUCAAGGAUAGAGCAGGGAAGUCCCUUGAUACUUCCAAAAACUCAUCAUCGUUAUCAUAAAUGCCUCUGUCGCCCAGCUGCUUGGUAAUAAUAUCCCUUGCAGUAGCAUAGGCGACAUUACGAUAUGCCAUAACUUUUUUAAUGGCCUUCUCACGCUGGAAUUUCCAACAAACCUUAGAGAGGCUCGUAUGGGGGCCUCCACAGUUUAUACAUUUGAUAUCACGGUCACAGGCACCAUGCUCAUUCUGUAAACACCUAAUGCAUCGUCUUGACUUGUUUGUACAUUGCAUCUGGACGUGCCCGUACGCGAAGCACCGGUAACAUUGUUUAACCGACUCAACACAAGGGAACACCCGCACACUCACGCAUCCUUGUCCAAUCCAGAGCUCUUUCGGGAGCUGAUCCCCCUUAAAGGUGGCCAGAAUGGCUAAUCCUUCCACCCAUUCUCAUUUACCGUCCUUAACCACUUUUUUCUUUAGUCUCUCCAAAGUACACUCGGGUUGACCAGGGACGAGCGCCUUCUCCAGAGCACCGACGGGUCCCUCCCAGUCGGUAAUAACACCCUUCCUAGUUCGUUCACGGUCCGGUAGGUAUGCGUCAAAGCAUGCCUCAUUCUUCUCUGCCCGAGACAGGAUUUCAUUUGCUGUUGCCAUAUCGCUAAAGGUGAGCUCCGCCCUAUUAAAUGCAACCAUUUUGAGUCCCCUAAGGAAUCUACCCUUAUUUUUAGUUAAACGAUAUAUUUUAAUUAGGUUUCUGCGCUUCAUUCUACUCGUCGCUUCCUUUUUCAGGACCACCGUGACCAUAUAUUCCCUACUGGGAAGCUCUUCUUCGUAAAAAACAUUCUUCCGCCUCUCAGCUUUAGUUUGAUGAGGGGUCGUUCCUUUAUUCCUGAUUCCAACAUCUCGAUCCUCGUUUCCAGUAACUUCCACGUGCUCAGGCGUUUCUAAAUUCACUUCUACGAUAUUUCCAGGAAGAUAUUGCCAGCGAUUAACAAACCCUCCAACAAAAAAUUAUGAUAUCACCAAAAAAAUAUCAGAAUGUACUAUUAUAUUACGUCACUCAGCAGGAGCCCGCCUCGUAUCCAACCACUCUCCUCAACCGUCGAAACGGAAGUGACCAAUGCACCGAGAAAAGACUUGGAAAAAACACCAAUAGCCGCAUCUAGAUGCACCGUACACACAGGAGAAAACCCCUGAAAACCUUUGUCUCAUUCGCACCCGCCUCGAUUCCGACCGUUCGUCUCAACCGUCAAAGCGGAAGUCACCAAACACUCUACAUACAUACAUACAUAACGGCUUUACUUGGGCGAAGCCCAAGAUGGCGUUCGAGAGGGGGGAGGCCCCCCCUAUAUUGCCCAACAAAAACAGCGGCCUAUUCAAAUCAAUCUUUCCACGAUACAAUCAUAUUAAUACAAUUCAUAAUCAAAGCGCAUUGGUUCACUCAUUCAUCUUUUUAUAACUAAAAAGAGAAGAGAGAGACAUACCAGCGCCCUGCACUUGUCACCACAAGGGUGGGGCAGGCCACCCCACCUCAAAAAACCUGUAAACUCAAACAUAAAGUCACAGAAAAUAAAGUCAUAUGGUUCUACCCAGUUUAUCAAGGAAUUUGGAGAUUUUUUACACACCCCCAAGUUCCCACUCAAAAAUUUCUGCUACGUCCGAUCCAGGGGAAAACCCCUUUUCUUCCAAGUACAUAUUUAAAUCCAGUCUUUCCAUCAAAAAUUUCUCACAAUACCAGACAACAUGUUCAAUCGACUCCUCUCCGAAGCCGCAACUACACUCUUUACCUUCAAUCAAGUUCUUUCUGAAUAGGGACUCCCCUAGAUUGAAAUGGUUGGCCCUCAGCCUACUCAUUCUCGUGAGUAGUUCCCUAUCCACACCUGUAAUUUUUAAAAACCAGGGCUUCUUGUUUCCUACGUUAUUCUUUGGAUUACCAAAAUAUUUCACUCCCUUAAACAUACCAAUCCCUGUCAUUCUAUUAACUAAUCUCUCCCACGCCCCUUCAGCCAGAUAUAAUCUGAUAUCUCGGGCGGAGACUCCUACUCCCAAUUCUUCCUCUCCCAUCGUUGCGACACCCGCCGGGAGAUCCGCUCGCUCAUUUCCCUCGAUGCCAACAUGGCUCGGAACCCACGCAAAGGCCACAUUCAUGACAUUCACGUCUUCACUCUCAUUACAGGUCGCGUUCAUUCUUAGUUCCCUGAUUAUCUCAAGAAUCCAGGGGCACUCUCCCAAAUUCCUCCCCACAUGAGCGACCUUCUCCAAAACACUCGCCGAAUCAAGAACUUACAGUUCUUAGGUCUAUUAUUAACGUAUCUCAGUGCUUGGAGAAUAGCGUACGUCUCAGCAGAAAAAACUGAGGUGGCCUUAUUUAAAGACCAACCAAACUCCUCCCACUCCCUAUUUGCGCCAUUAACCACCAUUCCCGACCCUACAGCAUCCAUGCUGCGUUUCUUAGACCCAUCCGUAUAAAUUUCCACUACCUCAUCCACAUUCAUACUAUUCCAGAACCCAUUCUUGAUUUCCUUAAACAUAGCCCUAUCCGGGAUCUCGAUUUGCUUUCUCUUUUUCCCCAUUUCCCAAUUAACUUUGAAACCCCCUUUAGCUAGAAAGGUUCCAACCUUCAGCCACUCUUCUCUACUCAUCACCGCCUUUCUACAAUUAUCCGUCCAUUCUUCCAGUUUCACCCAGGCCCGCGCCCAGGGUUCCAUGCACUCCCAUUCUUCCUCCUCUCUAACCACUAUAACAUUCAGCAAACUCUUUCUAACCAAACUAUCUGUUUUAAUUCUAUGUUUAAACAUGAAUCUUUCCAUCAAUAAUUCUACCCUAGUUUCCAGGUCGAUCACCCCAGUCUCCACAUUCAUCACAUUUAUAGGAGUGGUCAAUCUAUAUCCCAUGGCAAUCCUCAACCCUGCAUUUUGCAGUUUUGACAAUUUCUCCCUUCCCUUCUUAUUUCACCAGAAGUACGUAAAUAUCCCGUACUCUAUCACUGAACGAACCAAGCCUUUGAAAAAGACGAUCAUAGUUCGGGGGUUUACCCCCUUUUUAAUACUUGCUAUAUAACGUAGGAUAUCCAGGCGUUUCUUUGCCUUAUUACAGACGUACUCCAUCUGCCCACCGAACGACAAACCCUCGUUCAGAACCACUCCUAAGAAACGAACCUCUCUACUACAUUCCACUACUUCCUCCCCGAUUUGAAUGGAGGAUUUAAGCCCUUUCCUGGCUCUGUUUCUGGUAAAAGUCAUCCAUUGUGUUUUUUCCAUUGCUAAAUCUAGACCUAUAACUCUUAAAUUUUCCAUAAUUCGUUCAAUAGCUUCGCACAACCUAUGUUCCCUUUCCAACCGACCCCGCCCCCAGACAUAUAUCACAAUGUCGUCCGCAUAUAAUAGAAUUCUAAGGCAGUCCCGUAUACAAGAGGGGGCUCAAUACCGACUCCUGGGGUAAACCCCUGGUCACUCUGCCCUCACUUUCCGGAUCAAAUGUCCUUCUACAAACCGCCCACCUAUUCGUCAGCUAAUCUCUUAAGUAUCUUUUAACAAAAAGGGGGCAUCCCUUUCUAUUCAAUAUUUCUACCAUUUUCCCAUGUAAUACCCUAUCAUAUGCCGCUUUCACGUCUACAAAAGCAGCCGACGUCUCUUCCUUACGUAGGAAGGCUGCUUUAACAUCUGAGAUCAAGAUCAUGAUGUUAUCCACCGUGGACCUACCCUUCAUAAAACCGCUCUGCCGGGGGUCCACGAUGCCCUCCUUUUCUACCCAUUCCUGCAGGCGCUCUUUUACUAAUUUUUCUAACAGUUUGCCUAGACAAUCAAUUAAAGAGAUUGGCCUAACGGCCUUUUUCCCUGGUUUAUCUAGGAAUCUCACGACACCCCUCUUCCAGCGGUCCGGGAUGCAUCCACUAGACCAUAUCCAAUUAUACAUUUCUAAUAGUAAGGAUUUCAUAUUCUCGUGCAUGUUUUUCAAACCAGCAUAAGAAAUUCCAACCUCCUCCGAGGCUGUAUUGACUCUCACCCCCCUUAAAGCACUAUCUAGCUUCUGUCGUGCGAAACCCUGACUAUCCUCUCUACCCUCUUCUAGCCUCUCCCAGUCCCGUUGGUCAUUCCAGGCAACAGGGCCAUCCGUUGUCCCAUUCGAAUCUCCAAGUAUUUUCCCAACCUCUUUAUUUUCUAAGUCCCUCCUCUCCAAUAUAGGUAUAACACAGAUCACUUCCCUGGCCACGCCAUUCCUAAUGCUUUUAACCUUUCUCCAGGCAUCUUUCGCACUCCUGAAACAAUCAAUAGAUCCGGCAAAAUCGUCCCACGCUUUACUUUUUUUUGCGUUUACCAGGUUUUUCAUAUUUUUUUCCGCCUCCCUUAAACUAACCCAGUUUUCCUGGCAAGGUCUUCUAACAUAAUCUCACGUGGCUCUCCUGCAACUGUUUUUGGCCUCCUCACAUUCCUGGUCCCACCAUACCUGUUUUUUCCUAACCCUAGCGCCCACAGGAUCCUCUAGCCUAAACGAUGGGGCCUUUUUUUUACCUCCCGCCCUUAGUAAAGCCCUACUCAUCGCGGCUGUAAAUUGAUCAACUCUAUCAUUAAUAUUUUGACUCGACCAAGUCUCCUUUUCCCAUGACUCAUUAAGCCCACCCGCAUCCUCUCCUGAGAAAACUUUGAACAUUAACCAAUUAAUAUUCUUCUCAUUAAAUUUCCUCGUGCCUACUUUAUUACCAUUCUGUACCAAAGUAAUUCCCUCUUUUAAAUGGAGAAGGAUUACUUGGUGGUCCGACCCCAAGGUCUCAUUUUCCUGUUCAAUAGAGCCCAGUGUUACAAACCUAUGCGAGCCUAUAAAAAGGUCCAAAUUGGAAGGUGGACGCCCCCCCGAUCCUAUCCUAGAUAACGUAUAUCUAUUAAGCACGAAUAGAUCUGCUUCCCUAACAACCUCCUCCAACGAUCUCCCCUCCCUACUCUCGACCGGACAGUUCCACGCCUUGCUCCUAGCAUUAAAAUCUCCCAUAAACAGAACCGGAACCCCGGGCCUCUUAAAUUCUAUCACAUCCUUCCACUCCCUUUUACUCCAGGGGAUCCCCGGCCUCCUAUAUACCACCACCAUCCCAAACGAUAUCGUCUCUAGUUUGAUACAUAAUGUCCUCCCGGAGCAGUAAAGCUACUCCCCCACCCUGUCUAUCCUCGUCCAAAUCAAGUCUAACUAUAUUGUACCCAGGAAUAUUCAAAGUAUCCAAAGGUUUAAGCCAGGUCUCGGUGAUCCCGAACACCUGGAACUUGGGGUUAUACUCUUUUAAUUCCGCUACCUUCCCACGCACACUUCUGGCAUUCCAAAUUCCCAUCAAAACUGAGUUAUUCAUUUUACCUUACAGAAGGGGUUAAAAACCCUUUCAUCCCAGCAGUAGGGUGCCGCGCCCUCCAUUGUUUCAUCGCUCUCUCUUAUAGUGACAAGUGCAGGGAGCAUAAAAACAGCAUUCCUACAAAAUAAUAUAAACUUUAUUGGAGAAAAAGAAAAAAACCAGCUCCAACACAUAGUACCCUUUAUCCUACAAAACCCGGACAAACACAGGAAAUUGUACAACAGUAUAUUACCCUCUUUUCUCGUAUCGCACGUCAUGAUUAUAUCCCAGCUGUCUUUAUUCUGGGGUAGACUUACAGUUCUAGUCUUAUUACCAAGGAGCCAAAAAAUUUCCAAAAAACAGCUCAUAUCCAAUUCCUUACAGUCUAAAAGAGUUUCUAACAUUAUUCCAAAUCCGCAACCUAUUAUAAAAAACCAGUAAUACAAAGUUAACUUAAAAUUUAAAUUCAAAAUUAAAGUACAAUCAUAUCGCACCCAAAGGCCCGACAUAGGCCAAAUCGGGUAAACAUAAUUCCAAAUCAAACCAUUCCACACAAUAUUAGCACUAAAAAAUCUCACUCUUUUCCAUUCAUUCUUCCAUAACCCUAUCCCCUGCGAUAAGCCAAAAAGUCGGCAUCUGAGAUCACACCACAAGGAUUUAAACGUCUUUGUUCGGUUCGUCCCCAUUAUCUUGGCGGAAGACCCAUCCCAUCGGGCCCUUUUUCAUUUCUCUUAGUCUCUCAAGGCAACGCUCUUCCUCCCUUUCGGCUUCUGCCUGUUCCCUCUCCCUCUCCCGUCUGGCAUACGAGGGGCCAGGCAAGCUGUUCUCCCACUCUUCUUGUUGCUUCCUCUUUUCCUCUUCCCUUGCUGCGUACAAGGCCUUCUUCCUUUCAAUUUUAGCUUGAGUUUUGGCCGGUAUCGGUAUAUCCCAGGGCGGCCUUUGAGGAGUAUUCCACUCCCUGAAUUCCUCUUCUUCGGAUUGCUUUUUCCAUACCUUUUCUUUCUUAAAUGCUGCUCCAGCUCCUUCUCGAAUCCCCUAUCUACUAUCAGGCUUAAGAGCUCAGAAAGGAAUUCCUCCUCCCUUCUCUUUCUGAGUUGUUCGAUCAAUAAUCUGUUCGCCCUUUGUUCCAUCUUACUCACUUUCUUAAUCGCUGCUUUUUCCAGUUCACCAUAUCCAAAGGUGCACUCAGCUUCUCCAUCUUCCAAGUCCGACUCCGGCUGCAACACCUCAUACCUGUUUUCCUUUCCAUUUCCAUCAUUUUUCUUAACCAGGCCCUCCCUGGUUUUAAUACGGUCAUCUUCAAUGAUUAGAUUCAGUCUACCCCUACCACGUCCCUUACUAGGAGGAAGGGGGUCCUUUCGGAGUCCCAGGGCUGUCUCCCAGCCUCUUUGGUUGGGCACCGAAGGGGAGGACUGGCCGCGAGCCUCGCUGAUGGCCUGCAGUUCCUCACUCAGGGGGACUUCCCCCUUUUCCCAAAACUCAGGAUUUUUAAUCUUAUUCCUCCUUGACAAGGCCGGAAAGUCCCUGGAUCCAUCCACUCUGUCGUCUUCUUCAUCCAAAAUUCCAUUUUCUCCCAUCUGCUUCGAAACCAAGUCCCUUGCGGUGGCAUACACCACGUUGCGGUACGCCAUCACUUUUUUAACUGCUUUUUCUCUUUGGAACUUCCAGCAGCCCUUCGACAGACUGGUAUGGUUCCCACCGCAGUUUAGGCAUUUCUCCGGCCUAUCACACUGUCCAUGCUCAUUCUCCAAACAUUUAAUGCACCUUUUAUAUUUGGACAUGGCCAAAUGCAAAGCAUCUAUAACACUGUUUCACAGCUUCCACAAACGGGAACACCCUCACACUCACGUGGCCGUGACCUAUCCAAAGUUCCUUCGGUAAUUGAUCUCCCUUGAAUGUAGCAAGGAUUGCAAUCCCCUCCACCCACUCGGUUUUGCCGUCCUUGGUGACUUUCCUUUUCAAUCUCUCAAACUUCGCUUCAGGUUGACCAGGCACCAGGGCUUCUUCAAGCGCGUCCACAGGUUCUUCCCAGUCUACAAUCACACCUUUUCUGGUCCUCUUCCGCUCUGGCAGGUAUGCAUCGAAGCAUGUAUUUCCCUCGUCCGCGCGUCUCAAGAUCUCGUUAGCUGCGGCCAUUUCGCUGAACGUUAGCUCCGCCCUGUUGAAAGCGUCCAUUUUGAACCCCCUCAAAUAUCUCCCUUUAUUUUUAACUUGUCUAUAUAUUUUGAUAACAUUUCUACGCUUCAUUCUACUGGUGGCUUCCUUCUUCAGCACCAGCGUCACCAUGUAUUCUCUACUGGCGAGCUCUUCAUAAUAAUAAGAUUUUUUUGAUUUCUCACCUUUUGAAGCGUUCAAACCGUGUUCUGUAAUGGCCGGCUCUUUGUUCCUUUGUGUUUCGUUGUCCUUUAUCAAUUCCAAAUUCUCAGCGUCCUUUUCCACAGUUCCUUUUUCCAAAGUCUUAUCCCUAUUAUCUGCAUCAACAAUACGUUUAGGUACGGUGCUCACCUCCACGGGUUGCUUAUCGCCCUUUUUUUUACCUUGAAUUACGUCUCCCAGAUCCUCCUCGCUAGUUCUUCUUAGUCUCUUUCUACUUUUCUACUCUGUCUUGUCGUUCAACGUUCUUUGUGCGUCACUUCCUAUUUCUAACGGUUUUUCCGUCGUCUUUUCAGUACUACCAACUUCGCAUUCCAAAAGUUUCUCAUCCAAGUCCAUAGAGGCCGUGCGUGGCUCUUUUGGAUUGGCCACAUCCCCACUUAUUUCCCUUUGUUCGAAUCCUGCUACGAUUUCAGCAACCUUCAGCUCCCUCUGAGGUGUUUUUUUUCCCAAAACCGUUUUCACCGCAAAAAAUUCUCGUGCUUCUUUGUCUUCUUCCAAAUACUCAGUUUCCCAUUCACCAUCACUUCCUGGUUUUUCCACUUCCACUCGCUUUUCGAGCUUCGAGCUUUCACUUUCUCUUCUCCUUUAUCUUCCUUCUUCUGCUCCCAAGCGGCAUAUCGUUGCCGCUUGGGAGGGUCCCCUCCCCCCGCCGAUUAAUUCCUGGACCGAGUAAUCUCAGCCCAGGAAAAAACCCCAACUAUUCACAACACUUCACUUCUAUAUGUCCGGGUUUUAUGCUUGAUUCUCUAAAAAACUCAAUUUCCCUACAGAAAACGCGAUUUUCCCUAUGAAAAUCACCACUUGGAGCGAACUUUCCAGCGCACUCACCGCUCUACCCACCACCAAACACUCUCGUCCAUGCACCUACGGGGAUGAGUUGACAGCCCUGCCCACCCCAAACCCCGCGCAUUUUUAAAUUUCUUUUUUCUUUUCUUUAUAUUUCUUCUCACAAUCUUUUCCAUACUUUUACAGUCUUUAACAGUUUUCCAUACUUUUAUGUCUACAAAUUAGUCUUUCCAUACUUUUUGCUCUUUUUACUCCACAUUGUUACAUUCUUCUAAACUUUCCGCAACACUUUUAUUAUCUCGUGUUUCGACGUUUCCGUCGCCGAUCGUGGUACACCAAAUGAGCAUCGCCUUUCUUACUUUUGCCUCUUCUACACUAAUCUUACAUAAAUGAGUUUGACAAUGCUACUAUCGUAUUUUAAAGAACAUCAAUAUAAAUAUAGAAAGGAAGGAACUACCCUAAUCUGUUGUAAUCUAUUCUAAGGUCUCUCAAACAUUACACUAUCUAACACCCUUUCACUCCCUCUCAUUCACUCCUUCACCCGCCCCAACCGAGCCCUCGGCAACCAUCGCUCGAGGGUUCCAUCGUCACCCCCAUCCCCUCGCCGAGCACAGCUCCCCCUUCUUUUUCCCUUCCAAACUCACGCCUCUCGAAGGCACAGCCCCGCUCACACGCCCAGCCGCGCCUCCCCGACCAUUCAUCCACUCGCACUCACUCCCCCAUUCAGCUCUCCCCUCUCUCCUACCCCCAGAGUACCAGACACACCGUCACACCGCUCCAACCCAGGGGCGGCACACCGGCUCCGGGGGCUCCCGCUCCACGGCGCGAGCGUCCACAGCAGGGCAGCACGACUGCGCCCACAACCCACUGCACCCACACCUAAUCGAACAAAAUGUAGGGAACCCAGAAUCCCGAAUAUUAUCCAAUCAAUAUCGCCGCUCUCAUGCCCCCCGCUCCACACUCCAGGCCCCCCCAAGCCGGCCUCCCCUCCCGCAUCCCACCCCACUCCCACAGUCCCGCCCCUCUCACACAUCCACCCCCCUCGCUCCCUGCUAUUGAAACCGGCCCCACCGCACAAGAUACCCCAGUCCUCCGCACAGGCGCCCCAAACAACUCCGCCCGUCCCCACAAGAAACCCCGCCACCGCCGCGCACACCGCAGGUCUGUCCCCUCCGACCAAGUCCCGACACCGGGGUCCGCCCCGAAGCCCCCCUUCGUGCAGUCCACCGACAAGCCCCUCCCAAAGAUGCUCGCACCCCCCGCACUCUAAUAGAACGCGAAACACGCCUUCUAUCGCCCCCCCCACAGCCACACCCAGGGCCCCCCCACAAAGCGCUCUCUCGCGAGCGACCCUCCCACACUGUACUGACCAGAUCUCACUCUGCCCAAAACCGAUACAGUCCCUCCACUCUGUACCGCAAACCCUCCAAACCACGGCCCUGCACAGUUCCCACCCGCGCCGACCCCGACGAAGCAUCGCACCCCUACAGCUCGCCUCCCCUCGCAACACUCCCAGCCGCCCACAACACCCCUGUGCGCCGGCCCCCACACAAAGACAACGGGCGUCCUCCCACAAUCCACAGUCCCGUCACACGGUAAGUUUUUGUACAUAUAUAUUUCGUUUAACUCGUUUAGUAUUUUAACAAUUAUUUCGUUUAUUUUACUAUUAAGUAUAUCACUGAUGUCUUUACUUCUGGUUGCGUCCAGCACCCCGAGGACACUCGCAGAGUCACUGCACACUACCAAUCCUCCCCUACCGCCGGAUUGCCAGUGUCAUGUCUUCUGACCACCGCAACCGCCCCAACCGACCGGGCUCCCCGCUUCCUGAAACCACCGGUGCACAUCCCGACGAAGCCCCCACCGAUCGACCCACAGAGCCGCCUUGCCCCGGCCGGGACGCUCUCCAGAACCGCACUCGGCACCACCAUCAUCUCCCCGGCUCUCCACUCGAUCCAGGGCCUGGGGCACUCCAGAAUCCCGACUGCCGGGCGCCAAGCACCCAAUCUCGCCAACGUCACCAGCCGUUCAUCCCCUCUGCAAGCCUUCACCAUACAAGUCCAGUUGCCACCCGGCAACUCCUCGACCCCCUCCCAGGCUCCACAAAAUCAGUCUCAAAAUAUCCCCCUUCUACCACCCACCCCUUUAAGGAGGCACCCCCCUGCGACGACAGCCGCGGAUCGGCGUCGCGCAUCGCGGGCCCCACCGCGGCGGCAUCCCCACUCCCGAGUAAUUAGACUAUAAGUAGGACCGAUCGA